UACAGGGGGGGCAAGCGUUGUUCGGAAUUACUGGGCGUAAAGGGCUCGUAGGCGGCCAACUAAGUCACACGUUAAAUCCCCAGGCUUAACCUGGGAACUGCGUGUGAUACUGGAUGGCUUGAAUUCGGGAGAGGGAUGCAGAAUUCCAGGUGUAGCGGUGAAAUGCGUAGAUAUCUGGAGGAAUACCGGUGGCGAAGGCGGCCUGCUGGGCAGUAGCUGACACUGAGGCGCGACAGCGUGGGGAGCAAACAGG
rnacentral:rRNA from 1 species